CGACCGGCGCACGGGUGAGUAACACGUAUGCAACCUGGCUGUGACAGAUGGAUAACCGGGAGAAAUCCCGCCUAAUACAGCAUGACGCCGGGAAGGGACAUCCCUUUCCGGCCAAAGGGGGCGACUCCGGUCACGGAUGGGCAUGCGGCGCAUUAGGUAGUUGGUGGGGCAACGGCCCACCAAGCCGACGAUGCGUAGGGGUUCUGAGAGGAAGGUCCCCCACAUUGGAACUGAGACACGGUCCAAACUCCUACGGAAGGCAGCAG
rnacentral:rRNA from 1 species